rnacentral:lncRNA from 1 species
AAGGAAAAUUCACUAUAGGCUACCGAACGGAGUUAAACGAUGAUAAACAUUUGUACAUGUAUUCCGACUUGAAAAUAGUAAAGCAAUUCAAUUUGGAAUAACUAACAAAACCAUUUACGGAAAGAAAUACCGGUAAAACAAAUAUGACAGACAUUAAAAAAGGACAACCACUGAGCUAACUAUAUACAGGCUCUUGACUUGGGACAGACACAUACCAUGCAAAUGUGAUUAGGCAGGGUAACAUGUUUGAUAAGUGCUCAACCCUUUUCCUUACCUGGGCCACUGAGUGGUGUUACAGUCAACAUAAGAACAACAUGUAAACUUUGAAUCAUUUGCAAUGGGCCUUACUCAAAAGAUCUGUACGAUGCACUAAAAAAAUACAUUAUCGAACACCAAUCUAAUAGUUUUAUUGUUGAUAUUCACCCCACAUGUGCCAAGUUUUAGAUUAUUUUUAUUCAUAUUGAUAUACAAGAAAUUUCUUGGUAUUCCUAAAUGGAAUAUUACACAGACAUCAGAAGGAGUAUUCUUAACA